rnacentral:rRNA from 1 species
UUUAAAGAGAGUUUGAUCCUGGCUCAGGACGAACGCUGGCGGCGUGCCUAAUACAUGCAAGUCGAACGAACGGAGGAAGAGCUUGCUCUUCCAAAGUUAGUGGCGGACGGGUGAGUAACACGUGGGCAACCUGCCUGUAAGUUGGGGAUAACUCCGGGAAACCGGGGCUAAUACCGAAUGAUAAAGUGUGGCGCAUGCCACGCUUUUGAAAGAUGGUUUCGGCUAUCGCUUACAGAUGGGCCCGCGGUGCAUUAGCUAGUUGGUAGGGUAAUGGCCUACCAAGGCAACGAUGCAUAGCCGACCUGAGAGGGUGAUCGGCCACACUGGGACUGAGACACGGCCCAGACUCCUACGGGAGGCAGCAGUAGGGAAUCUUCCGCAAUGGACGAAAGUCUGACGGAGCAACGCCGCGUGUAUGAAGAAGGUUUUCGGAUCGUAAAGUACUGUUGUUAGAGAAGAACAAGGAUAAGAGUAACUGCUUGUCCCUUGACGGUAUCUAACCAGAAAGCCACGGCUAACUACGUGCCAGCAGCCGCGGUAAUACGUAGGUGGCAAGCGUUGUCCGGAUUUAUUGGGCGUAAAGCG